rnacentral:rRNA from 1 species
UACAGAGGGUGCAAGCGUUAAUCGGAAUUACUGGGCGUAAGGGCGUGUAGGUGGUUCUGUAUGUCUACCGUGAAAGCGUACGGCUCAACCGUAUUUAGUCGGUAGAAACUGCAGGACUUGAGGCUGGGAGGGGCUGGUGGAAUUCCCCGUGUAGCGGUGAAAUGCGUAGAGAUGGGGGAGAACACUCGUGGCGAAGGCGGCCAGCUAGACCAGUUCUGACACUGAGGCGCGAUAGCGUGGGGAGCAAACAGG